CACACUCUGCCACCGGGUAAAGUGUAAGGUGUUCUUAAAUAUUCCAUUAGGUCAUAGAAGGAAUAUUUUAGAACACUUUUUUUUA
rnacentral:ncRNA from 1 species